GCCAGGAUGGUCUGGAUCUCCUGACCUUGUGAUCUGCCCGCCUCAGCCUCCCAAAGUGCUGGGAUUACAGGUGUGAGCCACCGUGCCUGGCUGAGCUUUAAUCUCUUGAACCCACUUCCAGUCUGGUGGAUAUAAGGUCCCAUUCUCUAGUUGUGUCCAAAUCAAUAAAAAGUUCUGAUAAAUUAGUCCCAUUUUUAUACAUGCUUCCAUCCUAUUGAUAAGUUGGAAAAAAGCAAAACUACAGCCACUUGGUAUGCUCUAAAGCAAGUUAUGAGACCAGGCAUGGUGGCUAUGUCUGUAAUCCCAGCACUUUGGGAGGCCGAGGUGGGCAGAUGGCUUGAGCUCAGGAGUUCGAGACCAGCCUGGGCAACACAGUGAGACCCUGUCUCUACUAAAAAUGCAAAAAAUUAGCCAGGCAUGGUGACACAAGCCUAUGGUCCCAGUUACUUGGGAGGCUGAGGUGGGAGGAUCACUUGAGCCCGGAAGGUGGAGGCUGCAGUGAGCCAGGAUUACACCACUGCACUCCAGCCUGGGUGACAGAGCAAGAUCCUGUCUCAAAAAUAAAUAAAUAGGCCGGGCGCGGUGGCUCAAACCUGUAAUCCGAGAACUUUGGGAGGCCGAGGCAGGUGGAUCACCUGAGGUCAGGAGUUCGAGACCAGCCUGACCAACAUAGUGAAACCCCGUCUCUACUAAAAUACAAAAAUUAGCCAGGCGUGCUGGCGGGCACCUGUAAUCUCGGCUACUUGGGAGGCUGAGGCAGGAGAAUUGCUUGAACCCAGGAGGCAGAGGGUGCAAUGAGCAGAGAUCGCACAUUGCAUUCCAGCCUGGACAAGGAGAGUGAAAC
rnacentral:lncRNA from 1 species